rnacentral:rRNA from 1 species
AUUGAACGCUGGCGGCAGGCCUAACACAUGCAAGUCGAGCGAGCGGCGGACGGGUGAGUAAUGUCUGGGAAUCUGCCUGAUGGAGGGGGAUAACUACUGGAAACGUUAGCUAAUACCGCAUACUAUCAGAUGAACCCAUAGGGGAUUAGCUAGUGGGUGGGGUAACGGCUCACCAAGGCGACGAUCCCUAGCUGGUCUGAGAGGAUGACCAGCCACACUGGGAAUGAGACACGGCCCAGACUCCUACGGGAGGCAGCAGUGGGGAAUAUUGCACAAUGGGCGCAAGCCUGAUGCAGCCAUGCCGCGUGUAUGAAGAAGGCCUUCGGGUUGUAAAGUACUUUCAGCGGGGAGGCGUUACCCGCAGAAGAAGCACCGGCUAACUCCGUGCCAGCAGCCGCGGUAAUAC